CCUACGGGGGGCAGCAGUGGGGAAUAUUGGACAAUGGGGGAAACCCUGAUCCAGCGACGCCGCGUGAGUGAAGAAGUAUUUCGGUAUGUAAAGCUCUAUCAGCAGGGAAGAAAAUGACGGUACCUGACUAAGAAGCCCCGGCUAACUACGUGCCAGCAGCCGCGGUAAUACGUAGGGGGCAAGCGUUAUCCGGAUUUACUGGGUGUAAAGGGAGCGCAGACGGCGAAGCAAGUCUGAAGUGAAAUGCAUGGGCUCAACCCAUGAAUUGCUUUGGAAACUGUUUGGCUUGAGUGUCGGAGGGGUAAGCGGAAUUCCUAGUGUAGCGGUGAAAUGCGUAGAUAUUAGGAGGAACACCGGAGGCGAAGGCGGCUUACUGGACGACAACUGACGUUGAGGCUCGAAGGCGUGGGGAGCAAACAGGAUUAGAUACCCGGGUAGUC
rnacentral:rRNA from 1 species